AACGUAGGACACAAGCGUUAUCCGGAGUUACUGGGCGUAAAGCGCGUGUAGGCAGCUCGGAAAGUCGGGUGUGAAAGCCCUGGGCUUAACCUAGGAAGUGCACUCGAAACUUCCGAGCUUGAGUUCUGGAGAGGAAGGCGGAAUUCUCGGUGUAGAGGUGAAAUUCGUAGAUAUCGAGAGGAACACCGGUGGCGAAGGCGGCCUUCUGGACAGUGACUGACGCUGAGACGCGAAAGCGUGGGGAGCAAACGG
rnacentral:rRNA from 1 species